UCUCGUUCCCUUUCGUUUUCUUUUUUCAUCUGUGGCCAUUCUAAACCUAGCCGCCUCUGUUCUUCAUCUACCGUUCCUGAACCGUACCGAACGGAGUCGCAUCUCAGUUCGAUCGGUUUGGGCACCAGAGUUUUGCCAUCUUCAACCUUUCUCUAUGGACAAGAAGGAAAAGAAGAUGAAGAACAAAGCUCUUGUGGAAGCCCUAGCUUCG
rnacentral:misc_RNA from 1 species